rfam:Arabidopsis thaliana chromosome 5, complete sequence.
GGGUGUGUCCGUGAUCUGUGGUAUAUUACGAGCCCAUCAGAACUCCGCAGCUAAGUGUUCUUGGGCGAGAGUAUUACUAGGAUGGGUGACCUCUCAGGAAGUCCUCGUGUUGCAUCCC